rfam:Picea glauca, whole genome shotgun sequence.
GUGUGCCUGGCUCCCUGUAUGCCACUUACAAAUCUAAUCCUCAUUGGAUUGGCUUUAUAGGUGGCGUGCAGGGAGACAAGCACAC